GCACUUAAGCACUAUGUUUGGGGGCCAUUUUAAACAAUGAAAUCAGGAAGAAAAAGCCCCAAAAUUCAAAAUAUGUGACACUAAGUAGAUUGUGAAUAGGGCACUUGUUUAUAGUAUGAGACCUGAAGCAAGAAAGAGUGUCACCUUUUUGAAUUCUGCUGGGAACAUGCAUAUUGGGCACCUUAAAUUUAUUGCUGCACUGUGCAUGUCUGUCAAUGAAUGUGAAAGCUCUGCAAUGAUUGAUUUUGAGGUUACAAAUUUUAAUGAAUACUCAUAUUUGCAAGCAUGGAACCGUUGAAUAAUCUGACUAUAAAUCACCUACCUCAAGAGUUUUUUGGAAUAUCUAAUAUGUCGUAUUAACCAACCAAAUCUAGACUACAGGAUACUGAAAUUUCAUAACACAAACUAAAAAAAAUCAGUGAGGACAUUGUCUCAAUCCUGUAUUCUCAUUAAAAAAAAAAAAAUUAUGGAGGGUGUGGAGUGAGGGUGGCAAGGGUUCCAGAACUGUUGGGUACUAUGCUCACUACCUGGGUGUUGAGAUCAUUUGUAUUGCAAACCUUAACAUCACACAGUAUACCCAUGUAACCUGCACAUGUACCCCGAAUCUAAAAUAAAAGUUGAAAUUGUAAGAAAAAAAUUUUAAAAAUUACUGCUUCACUUUCUUGAUUUGAAAUCAGUAGCAACUCAGUGAGUAGGUGGCUAUCCUUUUGCAUAUAUAAACAAGUAUGCAUCAAAAUAUUUUAGGCAAAAAUAAUUUUAACUAAUUUAUUUAUUUUUUUUUAUUUUUUGAGGCAAAGUCUUGCUCUGUCACCCAGGCACUGGCACAAUCUUGGCUCACUGCAGCCUCCACCUCCCGGGUUCAAAUGAUUGUCCCGCCUCAGUCUCCUGAGUAGCUGGGACUAUAGGCAUGCACAACCAUGCCCAGCUAAUUUUAUUUUUAAUUUUUAGUAGAGACGAGGUUUCACCAUGUUGGCCAGGCUGGUCUUGAACUCCUGACUGACCUCAAGUGAUCUGCCUGCCUUGGCCUCCCAAAGUGCUAGGAUUACAAGCAUGAGCCACCACACCAGUAUUAAUUAUUAAUACUGUUUUAUAAAGAGAUAGUUUCUUCAAACUUGUCUUAUAUCCAUGAUUGCCAUCUUUUAAUUCUGAAGGGCAUACCAAAAUAGAAUAGAAAGUAUUAUUAAGUAGUUUAGAGAGAUACGUUUUUUUCUGUUGCAUUAGAGUUAUGCUGGGUUUGUUUGGGAUUAAAAUGGCAUUAGGUGAAUCCUAAAUUUACAUUA
rnacentral:lncRNA from 10 species